rnacentral:rRNA from 1 species
UCGGGGUAUUUUAUGGUAAUGAGUCGGGCCUGCCCGGUGGGAUAAUGUCCUAAACGGUUAUUUAGUCGUACUAAGGUAGCGCAAUAGAUCGCCCUUUAAUUGAGGGAUAGUAUGAAUGGUUUGUCAUGGAGAAGCUGUCUCCGGAAUAUAGAGUUGAAAUUUCCAUUUAAGUGAAAAGGCUUAAAUUUUUGUAAAAGAAGAGAAGACCCUAUCGAGCUUAAUUAGGGAUAGUUAGUUUAUGUGCGGUUCAUUGUUGUUUUGUGAUAUGGAUUAAAAUUAAUGUAUCUCGUUUGGUUAUGUUAAUGUUGUCCUAUUGCAGAUUGUUUUGUGAAUAUUGGAUGGCUGGUGUUCUAUCUUUUCUUGAAGUUUUAUUGGGGCAAUAAGGGGCUAUAAUCAACGCCUCUUUCAGUUAUGAGGAUCCUGUAGUGAUAGAUAAUAAGCAAAAGCUACCGUAGGGAUAACAGCGCGAUCCUUUUUUCGAGACCGUAUUGAAAAAGGGGUUUACGACAUCGAUGUUGAAUUAAGAGUGUCUUAUGGUGCAGCCGCUAUAAGAGUGAGACUGUUCGUCUUGUAUCUUCUUACAUGAUCUGAGUUCAGACCGGA